UGUGAAAAACUAUUGAAUUCAUAUUAACAAAGCAUGGGGUGUUUUACUAAUAAUAUGAUCAAAUAAUUUUCUGUUUUUUUAUGUAAAAGAGAAAAAAUAUGGCUAAAAUUCUUAAAGGAAUUUAUGCUUUGAUCAUUUUUCUUUUCCUAAUUCUUCUUGUUACCGGCGAAGAUCUUAUCCCCAUCAUUUCUAUCCACGGUCAUCAUGUUCCCUGCAUUACCUUCACAGAUUGUCCACAAGAAAAAUGUCAAGAUCCUUCUGUUUUGUGGUGUGUUAGCAAAAAAUGUUAUUGCUCGUAAGCAUGACAAUUAAGUUGAAAAUUAAUUAUGUUACUUCUAUGUGUAAAGUUUUAUUUGUAUGUCUUAAAGUGGGUACCUCUUAUAAUUUAUCUCACAAUUUUAUUUCUAUGUCAUGACAUGAUUACUUCUAUAA